GUUCUUCGUAUGGAAAAAUAUUUCUUCAGAAAUUCAUAUUGCAUUUGAGCCCAUGAAAGAAUGGAAUUGGCUUCUAAUGAAUGGAGCCACUGCUUAGCUCUGUCCUUAAGGGAGAAAGGGAACAACCUAAGUUUCAGAGCAUCAUCAGUGAAGUUCUGAAUUUUGACAGUGGUGCAAAUCUCAAGGAACUCAUCUAAAUGUUUGUAUGGGUCUUCAUUGUUGAGUCCAUAAAAAGAGGAAAGCAUUUGGAUGACACUAGACUUAAUUUCAAAUUGU
rnacentral:lncRNA from 1 species